UUUUUUAUCAUCAUACUAUAUAUCGAUGUCCAUGUCAUUGAAAUUUUGUUAUAUACCAUAUAAAAUAAAUAAAAAAUGAUUGUUUUGAUUUAUUUAAUAAAAAAGUAUCUUAAGUAAACAAGAUGUAUUGUUUAUUUUUAUGUGUUUACUCUAAUUUAAUUAUGUAUUGUUUAUUGUUAAUUUAAUUAUGUGUUUACUCUAUAUUAAUAAAGUUUCUCAGAAAGGCUCCAGGUGAAGCCACGUCAGCAGACCCUGUUCAUUUUAUUGACACGUGUCCAAGAGGGAGGAGCUUCACUUUUUUCUUAUGGGAGAGUUUGGUUUUUUUUUUGGGCUUUAGUUUGAAAGAAGAAUUCUUCUUUUGCGGGAGAGUUUAGUUUUGUUGGGCUUUUGUUUUUAAUUUGGGCUUUAGUGAUCUUGCUAGGGUUCACGGUGUAUCUUCACGGCAUUGCCAUCUCCGCCUUCCUCUUUCCAUCCUCUUUGCUUUCUCACCAUCUCUGUAACGUAGUCUUCCUCAUUGAAAUCGAUCUUUAAUUUGAUCAUUAGUUUUCACCCCACCUCUCUUCCCACUCCAUCUCAUUUACUCUCAUGGUCGACCCGGUUUUGUAACAGAUUGAAGGUGGCUUUAUAAAUAAGUGCGUCUUGGAGCUAUGAGGAUCUACAGCUCUGAGAUUUAUAGCUUAAGCAAUCCGACACGCCUUCCGAUAUGUCUUCUUAUGUUCUUCUCGCUAACUUGAGAGCAGGCCGUUGCUCAAACACCGCUGAAGUUCGUCUUCUGAGGUUCUGGGAAGCUCGCAACGACAGGAAAGAUGGAGAGCUUAUGAGCCUUGACAUGCUUCUCCUUGAUGAACAGUCUACGCUGAUACACAGGAGCAUGAACUCAAGCCGCGUUGACACUUUCCGGAGGCGGCUCAGUGAAGGCUCCGUCUACUCUCUCAGUGGUUUCGACGUGGCACGGGCUAACCAAAAAUUCUGACUCUCUGACUCUCCGGUGUCCAUACGCUUCAAUGAUGGGACUGAGUUAUUCAGGUUUCGCAGCCAUGAACAGCUUCUGGCAUUGGCAAAUACUAACAGAGAACUCCCAGAUAUCGUUGGUGAAGUAAGGAGCACGAUCACCGACGUACGCGGUCCUCAGCGUGUAAUGGUGACUCUGCGUUUGGAAGGGUAAGCUGAAUAUUUGUUUAUCCAGUAAUUGACAUCAAACAAACUCAUGUUGUUUUAGCUUUGUCUUUGAUUUCCAUGGUGUGUAUUGGGCAACACUGGAUCUGAAUUGAGUUUCAAACGACAUAUAUUACAGUGCGUAUAGUGCUCUAACGAGAGGAUCAGUCAUACCAUAUACGCUCCACGUUUUGGCUUUGGAUUGAGAUACAACAAUUGCUUGGCUCUCUGUUAUGUAUGUAUUAUAUGCAACAUGACUUGAUCUUAGCUUUUCUUUUCCUUCUCUGAGUGAGGAUAACCUGAGAGCAGCACUUGGUAGAAUGGGAUUGAGUUCGCGAGGAAUGGAAGGUGUUAUUGAUCAAGUGCGGAACAAACAUUAUCAGCUUGCAUGCACAAUGACCUUUGAAGCUGUUUAUGGCACAUCGUGUGAUGCUGGUAUCAACCAUCCAAACCAAUACUUCGAGGAGAGUCGGAAGAUUUUGAAAUCCAAGACGCCCCUGCUCCGGUUUAAAUUAUGAAUACGAUGAGGAAUUGUGUUGAAUUAGAAUCACAGUUUUUCAGAAAUUUCAACUCCUGAAAACCAUGCCUGCAGUAUGCACAAACCUUUCGGCU